rnacentral:rRNA from 1 species
UGGAGGAAAGUAGGGGAUCGUAAGACCUUGCGCUUUUGGAGUGGCCGAUGCCUGAUUAGCUAGUUGGUGGGGUAAAGGCCUACCAAGGCGACGAUCAGUAGUUGGUCUGAGAGGACGACCAGCCACACUGGGACUGAGACACGGCCCAGACUCCUACGGGAGGCAGCAGUGGGGAAUUUUGGACAAUGGGCGAAAGCCUGAUCCAGCAAUGCCGCGUGAGUGAAGAAGGCCUUCGGGUUGUAAAGCUCUUUCAGUCGAGAAGAAAAGAUUGUGAUGAAUAAUCACAGUUCAUGACGGUAUCGACAGAAGAAGCACCGGCUAACUACGUGCCAGCAGCCGCGGUAAUACGUAGGGUGCAAGCGUUAAUCGGAAUUACUGGGCGUAAAGGGUGCGCAGGCGGCUUUGUAAGUCAGAUGUGA